GAGUUUGAUCAUGGCUCAGAACGAACGCUGGCGGCAUGCCUAACACAUGCAAGUCGAACGAAGGCUUCGGCCUUAGUGGCGCACGGGUGAGUAACGCGUGGGAACCUGCCUCUUGGUUUGGAAUAACUGCGGGAAACUGCAGCUAAUACCGGAUACGUCGGUUGGAUGUGGUGUCCAGUCUGAGAAAGAUUUAUCGCCGAGAGAGGGGCCCGCGUUCGAUUAGGUAGUUGGUGAGGUAACGGCUCACCAAGCCUACGAUCGAUAACUGGUCUGAGAGGAUGAUCAGUCACACCGGAACUGAGACACGGUCCGGACUCCUACGGGGGGCAGCAGUGGGGAAUAUUGGACAAUGGACGAAAGCCUGAUCCAGCAAUGCCGCGUGUGUGAAGAAGGCCUUCGGGUUGUAAAGCACUUUCGCACGUGACGGUGAUGACGGUAACGUGAGAAGAAGCCCCGGCUAACUUCGUGCCAGCAGCCGCGGUAAUACG
rnacentral:rRNA from 1 species